GAAUGUAUAGCUCAGUGGUAGAGCAUUCGACUGCAGAUCGAGAAGUCCAUGGUUUGUACCCGGGUAAUUGA